CCUACGGGUGGCAGCAGUGAGGAAUAUUGGUCAAUGGCCGCAACUCUGAACCAGCCAAGCCGCGUGAAGGACGACGGCCCCAUGGGUUGUAAACUGCUUUUAUGCGGGGAUAAACUGAGUCACGUGUGGCUGAUUGCAGGUACCGCAUGAAUAAGCACCGGCUAAUUCCGUGCCAGCAGCCGCGGUAAUACGGAAGGUCCGGGCGUUAUCCGGAUUUAUUGGGUUUAAAGGGAGCGCAGGCGGGCCUUUAAGCGUGUGGGUAAAGGCCGCGGCUCAACCGGGGCAGUGCCGUGGAAACUGGCGGGCUUGAGUGGGCCGGAGGUAGGCGGAAUGCGUGGUGUAGCGGUGAAAUGCUUAGAUAUCGCGAAGAACUCCGAUUGCGAAGGCAGCCUACCGUCGCGGUACUGACGCUGAGGCUCGAAGGCGUGGGUAUCGAACAGGAUUAGAUACCCGUGUAGUC
rnacentral:rRNA from 1 species